rnacentral:rRNA from 1 species
AGUGAACGCUGGCGGUAGGCCCAACACAUGCAAGUCGAACGGCAGCACAGUAAGAGCUUGCUCUUACGGGUGGCGAGUGGCGGACGGGUGAGGAAUACAUCGGAAUCUACUUUUUCGUGGGGGAUAACGUAGGGAAACUUACGCUAAUACCGCAUACGACCUACGGGUGAAAGCAGGGGAUCUUCGGACCUUGCGCGAUUGAAUGAGCCGAUGUCGGAUUAGCUAGUUGGCGGGGUAAAGGCCCACCAAGGCGACGAUCCGUAGCUGGUCUGAGAGGAUGAUCAGCCACACUGGAACUGAGACACGGUCCAGACUCCUACGGGAGGCAGCAGUGGGGAAUAUUGGACAAUGGGCGCAAGCCUGAUCCAGCCAUACCGCGUGGGUGAAGAAGGCCUUCGGGUUUUAAAGCCCUUUUGUUGGGAAAGAAAAGCAGCAGGUUAAUACCCCGCUGUUCUGACGGUACCCAAAGAAUAAGCACCGGCUAACUUCGUG